CGGGUGAGUAACACGUAAACAACCUGCCUUCAGGAUGGGGACAACAGACGGAAACGACUGCUAAUACCGAAUAAGUUCCAAGGGCCGCAUGGCCCAUGGAAGAAAAGGUGGCCUCUACCUGUAAGCUAUCGCCUGAAGAGGGGUUUGCGUCUGAUUAGCUGGUUGGAGGGGUAACGGCCCACCAAGGCGACGAUCGGUAGCCGGACUGAGAGGUUGAACGGCCACAUUGGGACUGAGACACGGCCCAG
rnacentral:rRNA from 1 species